GAUGAACGCUGGCGGCGUGCCUAACACAUGCAAGUCGAACGGAAAGGCCCUGCUUUUGUGGGGUGCUCGAGUGCCGAACGGGUGAGUAACACGUGUGUAUCCUGCUCUUGGCUUUGGGAUAACUUCAGGUAACUGGGGCUAAUAUCGGAUAGGAUCUCCUGUACCAUGGUGGGGGUUGGAUAGUUUCGGCGGUUGGGGUUGGACUCGCGGCUUUCCAGCUUGUUGGUGGGGUGGUGGAUUACCAAGGCUUUCACGGGUAGCCGGCCUGUGAGGGUGACCGGCCACAUUGGGACUUAGAGACGGCCCAGGCUCCUACUGGAGGCAGCAGUGGGGAAUAUUGCACAAGGGACAGAAGCCUGAUGCAGCAGCGCCGCGUGCUGUAUGACGGCCUUCGGGUGAUAAACCGCUUUCGCCUUAAACGAAGCGUGAUUGACGGUAAUGGAUAAAAAAGCACCGGCUAACUACGUG
rnacentral:rRNA from 1 species